CUGGCAAGCCCCAGGAAGAAGGCUGGCAGUCAGAGUGGCCACUACAGUUUUCUGCAGCAGACCCUCUUCCCAGGCCAGACAGCUCAGCCUUUGCCAGGGUAAAUCUGGCCAACAUGUGACUGCAGCACCUCCAUUCCAGAGGAGAAGUGUGUUAAAGGGCUUUAAAAGCCUCUUGUGAAAAACCUCCUGGAAUCAAACUUUACUGAAUUGGUUCAGAAUUCUGAGAAAACAAACACAGGCUCACCCUGCAUGGUUGAAAGUCUCCUUUGCUAAUCUGCAGCAAGGGGCCCAUUUUAAUAAUUAGUGUUUCUAGUGUCUUCUCAUUUGCUCAAUUUUGUACAUCUGUUUUUUGUAUGUUUUGAAUGAGGACAGAAAUGUCAGAAUAAAAGUCCCCUGCUAACUGGGCAAAGAGGCA